ACGACUCUCGGCAACGGAUAUCUCGGCUCUCGCAUCGAUGAAGAACGUAGCGAUAUGCGAUACCUGGUGUGAAUUGCAGAAUCCCGCGAACCAUCGAGUCUUUGAACGCAAGUUGCGCCCGAGGCCACUCGGCCGAGGGCACGCCUGCCUGGGCGUCACGC
rnacentral:rRNA from 1 species